rnacentral:rRNA from 1 species
UACGGAGGAUGCGAGCGUUAUCCGGAUUUAUUGGGUUUAAAGGGUGCGCAGGCGGCCUGUUAAGUCAGCGGUAAAAGCCCGGGGCUCAACCCCGGCGAGCCGUUGAAACUGGCGGGCUGGAGUUGGAGAGAAGUACGCGGAAUGCGCGGUGUAGCGGUGAAAUGCAUAGAUAUCGCGCAGAACCCCGAUAGCGAAGGCAGCUUACCAGACUGUUACUGACGCUGAAGCACGAGAGCGUGGGUAGCGAACAGG